AUUGAACGCUGGCGGCAUGCCUUACACAUGCAAGUCGAACGGUAACAGGUCUUCGGAUGCUGACGAGUGGCGAACGGGUGAGUAAUACAUCGGAACGUGCCUAGUAGUGGGGGAUAACUACUCGAAAGAGUGGCUAAUACCGCAUGAGAUCUACGGAUGAAAGCAGGGGAUCGCAAGACGUUGUGCAACUCGAGCGGCCGAUGGCAGAUUAGGUAGUUGGUGGGAUAAAAGCUUACCAAGCCGAGGAACUGUAGCUGGCCUGAGAGGACGAUCAGCCACACUGGGACUGAGACACGGCCCAGACUCCUACGGGAGGCAGCAGUGGGGAAUUUUGGACAAUGGGCGCAAGCCUGAUCCAGCAAUGCCGCGUGCAGGAUGAAGGCCUUCGGGUUGUAAACUGCUUUUGUACGGAACGAAAAGCCCCGGGUUAAUACCCUGGGGUCAUGACGGUACCGUAAGAAUAAGCACCGGCUAACUACGUGCCAGCCGCCGCAGUAA
rnacentral:rRNA from 1 species